UGACUGAAGUUCAGAUGUGUGCGCCUUCAUCUCCAGGGGUCGCCCGUUCACCUUGAUGAGGCCGUUACCUCGCUUGCAGUGAGCCACGUUUGCAGUGGCCUUCUUCUUGCGCCCGAAGACCUGCACCGACUGCAGAGGGCUAUUG